rnacentral:rRNA from 1 species
UACGUAGGGUGCGAGCGUUAAUCGGAAUUACUGGGCGUAAAGGGUGCGUAGGCGGCGCGGUAAGUCGGGUGUGAAAUCUCGGAGCUUAACUCCGAAACUGCAUUCGAUACUGCCGUGCUUGAGGACUGGAGAGGAGACUGGAAUUUACGGUGUAGCGGUGAAAUGCGUAGAUAUCGUAAGGAAGACCAGUGGCGAAGGCGGGUCUCUGGACAGUUCCUGACGCUGAGGCACGAAGGCCAGGGAGCAAACGGG